rnacentral:rRNA from 1 species
UACGGGGGGGGCAAGCGUUGUUCGGAAUUACUGGGCGUAAAGGGCUCGUAGGUUGCCAACUAAGUCAGACGUGAAAUCCCUCGGCUUAACCGGGGAACUGCGUCUGAUACUGGAUGGCUUGAGUUCGGGAGAGGGAUGCGGAAUUCCAGGUGUAGCGGUGAAAUGCGUAGAUAUCUGGAGGAACACCGGUGGCGAAGGCGGCAUCCUGGACCAACACUGACGCUGAGUGAGCGAAAGCCAGGGGAGCAAACGGG